rnacentral:rRNA from 1 species
AUGUGGACCUGUCUUCGUCAGCGCUAUGAGCCCUCUGGUGAUGCCUUAUAUCUUUCUAUGGUUCGUCAGGAGCAUGCUCUUCAGCAGGGUGACUCUACUGUUGAUGACUUUUAUGCACAGAGUUCUGCUAUCUGGCGCCAGCUUGAUUCUCUCCGCAGUGCUGGUUGUCGUACUUGCCCCUGCUGCCAGGCUGUCCAGGCCGAUUUGGAGUUUCAUCGCGUCUAUGAGUUCCUGUCUCGGCUCCGUAAGGAGUUUGAGCCCCGGCGUGCUCAGUUGUUUGCUCGUGGCCGUAUUUCUCUCAUGGAGGCGCUUUCAGAGAUUCGUGCUGAGGAGACUCGCCUACGUGGUGCUGGUUUGCUGGAGGUUCCCUCUGUGCUUGCUACUCGGGUUUCUUCCACUCCACCUGCUGCACCGCCCCAUUCUCGCUCGAGUGCUCCGCCGCUCUUGCCCACUCCUUCUGGAGGCUCAAGUCGGCCCCGUUCACAUUGUGACUACUGCAACAAUGAUGGUCAUAUUGAGUCCCAGUGCUACACCAAGCGGAAACACCUGCGCAAGGCGCGAUCAUCCUCCUCAGGGACUUCGUCAUCUCCCUCGCCAGCUUCAUCCAUUGCUUUGACCGAGCAGGAUAUUCUGAGACUUAAGCGUCUGCUCGCGGCUUCAGGUUCUUCCUCGACGGGUACUGCUGGUUCUGUGACUGAUGCUUCCCGCACUGAGCACCCGCCCUCUACACAGUCAGGUACAUCCCCAUGGGUUCUGGAUUCUGGAGCUUCUUUUCAUAUGUCUUCUCAUUCUUCCACUUUGUCUUCUCUUCGCUCGCUGGAUUCUCCUGUUCAUGUCUUCACUGCUGAUGGUACUCCACAUUCUGUUGCUAGUAGAGGCCAUCUUUCUACUCCUUCUUAUUCUGUUCCUAAUGUUGCUCAUGUUCCUCGACUUACCAUGAAUCUGUUUUCUGCCGGUCAACUUACUGAUUCUGGUUGUCGUGUCAUCCUUGAUGUUGACUCUUGUUCUGUCCAGGAUCGUCGCACGCACACUCUGGUUGGGGCUGGCCCUCACCGCCGUGAUUCUCAGGGUCUUUGGGAGUUGGACUGGCUUCAUGUUCCUUCCGCUGCCAGCACCAUCGCCAGUUCCUCCGCUGCUGUCGCUUAUGUUACUGGUUCCUUCAAGCAGUGA